GAAGGAUUUCUCAACCCAGCUGGAUCGGAGUUGGCCGCCACGCGGGGGCGAUAGGGUAGUCCGGGAAGUGGGGUCUGACAGAUGACAAGCAGCAGGCGGGACCCGCCCCCUAAGGCGGAGGAGGAACUGGCGCUGGCAGAAAAAAGAAGCUGGACUCUGGGCUUGAAAAAUGAAAAAUAAAAAGCGUAGUCUUUUUAUUCGCGGCCGCAGCUCCCGCUUUUCUCAGCACGCGCACGACUUCCCGUCGCUUUCCCCAACACCCACUGUGUCCCCACAACUCGGGAUCGAACCCUUACCGGCAUUUUGGCGGCGCCGGGGUUUGGACUCAGAGGAGCAAGAUCUAGUUAAAGCGCGGCGCUUCCGGUCUGGGGACCAGGGCGGAGUAGGCGGAAGUGAGCCGGAAGGGGAGGGCAAGAGGAGGACGUGACGUUUCCGGCCUUGCCCUCCCGCCGCCGACUGCUGCGGCUGUACGGAUCAGAAGUGAUGGGGCUCACACUCAGGGCUUUGCUCAUGUUACCACUAAGCUUCACUCCAGCCCUGAAAAGACUGGCCUUGAACUUUCCAUCCUCCCAUCUCAGCCUUCCCAGCUAUUGGGGUUAAAGGGUGUGUACCACUGUGUCUGGCAAGAUUUCACUUUUAACUCAGGACUUGACUCAGGCAUGCUCCUGAUAAAGGGCCAAGUAUUCUUUUUUUUUUUUUCCUUCAUUAAAAAAAGCAGCUGUCUACUACUGCA